UUAUAUUUUAUUUAUUAAUUGAUUUUUUUUUUAUUAUAAAUUAUUAAAAAUAAUUAUUAUGAGAUUUGUUUGAGUAUUUUAUAAAGAAAAAAUAAUUUUAAUUAUAGUUAAAUAGUAUUGUGAAAGAAAAUUGAAAUAAUUUGAAAAAUUAAUAUUUUAAAAGAAAAUUUAAUUUAUUGUACCUUGUGUAUCAGGGUUUAUUAAUUAAAAAUUAUUUAAUAUAAUUUUCUCGAUUUUAAAAGAGUUAAUAUAUUAUAAAAGUUAAUGUGACAAAAUUAUUUUGUAUAAUAUAUUAGAAAUGAAAUGUUAUUCGUUUUUAAAGGUAUCUAGUUCUUUAAGAAAUAAAUUUAAUUUAGAAAUAUUAUAUUAUUUAGUUAAAUGAAUUAAUUAAAUAAUUAUUUUAUUUUAAUAUUUUGUGGGAUAAGCUAUGAAAUAAAUUAUUAAAAAUUGUUAAAUAGUUUAAUAAAUAUAAGCUUAGAAAUAGCUAUUAUUAAUGAAAUUGUUAUAAUUUAUUUUAUAAUAUUUAUUAUUUAUUAAAUUUUAAUUAUGUAUUAAAGUAUUUAUUUUAAUUUUAAAAAUAAAAAAAUAAUGGUAAAAUUAGUAUAUUAUAUUGUAUAAAUAUAAUUAAAUGAAAAGUUUUUAUAAAGAACUCGGCAAAAAUAAUGUUCGCCUGUUUAACAAAAACAUGUCUUUUUGAAUUUUUUUAAAAGUCUAGCCUGCCCACUGAAUAAUUUAAAUGGCCGCAGUAUACUAACUGUGCAAAGGUAGCAUAAUCAUUAGUCUUUUAAUUGAAGGCUGGUAUGAAUGGUUGGACGAGAUAUUAACUGUUUCAUAAAAAUUUAUAAUAGAAUUUUAUUUUUUAGUCAAAAAGCUAAAAUAUAAUUAAAAGACGAGAAGACCCUAUAAAUCUUUAUACAUAUGGAUUAUUAGAAUUUUGUAGAUUUCUUUUAUUAUAAUAGUUAAUUGUAUUUUAUUGGGGUGAUAUUAAAAUUUAAUAAACUUUUAAUUUUAUAAAUCAUUAAUUUAUGAAUAAUUGAUCCGUUAAUAACGAUUAAAAAAAUAAGUUACUUUAGGGAUAACAGCGUAAUUUUUUUGGAGAGUUCAUAUCGAUAAAAAAGAUUGCGACCUCGAUGUUGGAUUAAGAUAUAAUUUUAGGUGUAGCCGCUUAAAUUUUAAGUCUGUUCGACUUUUAAAUUCUUACAUGAUCUGAGUUCAAACCGGCGUAAGCCAGGUUGGUUUCUAUCUUUAAAAAAUUAAAAUAUUUUAGUACGAAAGGACCUAAUAUUUAAUAAAUAAUUAUUUUUAUAUUGAAUAUAAUUAAUUUAU
rnacentral:rRNA from 1 species